ACUCCUACGGGAGGCAGCAGUCGGGAAUUUUGCUCAAUGGGGAACCGUAGCAAGCAGCAACGCCGCGUGAGGGAUGAAGGCCUUCGGGUUGUAAACCUCUUUUGUCAGGGAAGAUGAUGACGGUACCUGGCGAAUAAGCCACGGCUAACUACGUGCCAGCAGCCGCGGUAAUACGUAGGUGGCAAGCGUUGUCCGGAUUUACUGGGCGUAAAGAGCGCGCAGGCGGUCGGGUAAGUCGAAUGUGAAAGCCCCGGCUCAACCUGGGAACUGCAUUUGGAACUGGCAGGCUAGAGUUUUGUAGAGGGUGGUAGAAUUUCAGGUGUAGCGGUGAAAUGCGUAGAGAUCUGAAGGAAUACCGGUGGCGAAGGCGACCACCUGGCCAAUAACUGACACUGAGACGCGAAGGCGUGGGUAGCAAACGGGAUUAGAUACCCUGGUAGGCUCUGC
rnacentral:rRNA from 1 species